GAUAGCAUAUCAAUAAGCGGAGGAAAAGAAACCAACAGGGAUUGCCCUAGUAACGGCGAGUGAAGCGGCAACAGCUCAAAUUUGAAAGCUGGCUUAGGCCCGCAUUGUAAUUUGCAGAGGAUGCUUUUGGUGAGGUGCCUUCCGAGUUCCCUGGAACGGGACGCCAUAGAGGGUGAGAGCCCCGUAUGGAUGGACACCAAACCUGUGUAAAGCUCCUUCAACGAGUCGAGUAGUUUGGGAAUGCUGCUCAAAAUGGGAGGUAAAUCUCUUCUAAAGCUAAAUACCGGCCAGAGACCGAUAGCGCACAAGUAGAGUGAUCGAAAGAUGAAAAGCACCUUGAAAAGGGGGUUAAACAGUACGUGAAAUUGUUGAAAGGGAAGCGCUUGUGACCAGACUUGCGCCGGGCAGCUCAUCAGGGGUUCUCCCCUGUGCACUCUGCCCGGCUCAGGCCAGCAUCGGUUCUCGUGGGAGGAUAAGAACAGUAGGAAUGUGGCCCCCUCUCGGGGGGGUGUUAUAGCCUAUUGUACGAUACUCUCGUGGGGACCGAGGUUCGCGCUCCGCAAGGAUGCUGGCGUAAUGGUCAUCAGCGACCCGUCUUGAAACACGGACCAAGGAGUCGUCCAUUAGAGCGAGCGUUUGGGUGUAAAACCCGCACGCGUAAUGAAAGUGAACGCAGGUGAGAGCUUCGGCGCAUCAUCGACCGAUCCUGAUGUCUUCGGAUGGAUUUGAGUAAGAGUUUUAACGGACGGACCCGAAAGACAGUGAACUAUGCUUGUAUAGGGUGAAGCCAGAGGAAACUCUGGUGGAGGCUCGCAGCGGUUCUGACGUGCAAAUCGAUCGUCAAAUAUGAGCAUGGGGGCGAAAG
rnacentral:rRNA from 1 species